GACCCUAUAGCUCAAUCGGAUAGAGCAGCGGUCUUCUAAACCGCAGGUUGCGUGUUCGAGUCACGCUAGGGUCGCCA
rnacentral:tRNA from 1 species